rnacentral:rRNA from 1 species
UACGGAGGGUGCAAGCGUUAUCCGGAUUCACUGGGUUUAAAGGGUGCGUAGGCGGGCAGGUAAGUCAGUGGUGAAAUCUUCGAGCUUAACUCGGAACUGCCGUUGAUACUAUCUGUCUUGAAUAACGUUGAGGUGAGCGGAAUAUGUCAUGUAGCGGUGAAAUGCUUAGAUAUGACAUAGAACACCGAUUGCGAAGGCAGCUCACUAAACGCUCAUUGACGCUGAGGCACGAAAGCGUGGGGAUCAAACAGG